rnacentral:rRNA from 1 species
CAGUGCCUACGGGACGCAGCAGUGAGGAAUAUUGGUCAAUGGGCGAGAGCCUGAACCAGCCACGUCGCGUGAAGGAUGAAGGAUCUAUGGUUUGUAAACUUCUUUUAUAUGGGAAUAAAGUGAGGAACGUGUUCCUCUUUGUAUGUACCAUAUGAAUAAGCAUCGGCUAACUCCGUGCCAGCAGCCGCGGUAAUACGGAGGAUGCGAGCGUUAUCCGGAUUUAUUGGGUUUAAAGGGUGCGUAGGCGGGCUUUUAAGUCAGCGGUAAAAAUUCGGGGCUCAACCCCGUCCGGCCGUUGAAACUGG